UUUCCGUAGGUGAACCUGCGGAAGGAUCAUUCAUAAUAAGUGUUUUAUGGCACUUUUUUAAAUCCAUAUCCACCUUGUGUGCAAUGUCAGGGUUGAUUUUUCUCUCGAGAGGAUCAACCCCAAACAUCAACUAUAUCUCAACUCUUUGUCUGAAAAAUAUUACGAAUAAAACAAUUCAAAAUACAACUUUCAACAACGGAUCUCUUGGCUCUC
rnacentral:misc_RNA from 1 species